ensembl:lncRNA CATSPER2P1 CATSPER2 pseudogene 1
GCGGGGCCGAGGCGGCGAGUGUCUGGGCGAGCGUGGCUGGGCCCGGUCCUGGGCUGGGGGCAGGGGCUAGGGCCGGGUCCCGGGGUGAGCCGAAACCUGGGGGUCGGGCGGGGCGGGAAAUGGGGCGCAGUGAGGCUGGGAGCCGGCCCUGAGCUCGUCCUGCGUAGGGGUAGCCGGGCUCAGGGGGCGCCUGAGCUGGAGGUGGAAGCGUGAAGUCAGGACUGAGUGGGCGAAGAGAACCUGGGCUGAGAUCCUUCCCGCCAGAAGAAACUUAUGUUGGGAGAUCAACACCAGCUAGUGGGCGUCUCUAUAAAGCCUCAACGUAUAGAACAGAUUUCACAUGCCCAGAGGCUGUUGAGCAGGCUUCAUGUGCGCUGCAGUCAGAGGCCACCUCUUUCUUUGUGGGCCGGAUGGGUCCUUGAGUAAUUGCUGGAAUCCACAAAUACCAAACUAUGGCCAUUGAAGCUGACCUUGGAGGGGGCAGCUUGGUUUAUCUUGCUUAUUUUCAUCCUGGAGAUCCUUCUUAAGUGGCUAUCCAACUUUUCUGUUUUCUGGAAGAGUGCCUGGAAUGUCUUUGACUUUGUUGUUACCAUGUUGGUAAGGAUAGAGAUCCUGAGGGUUCGUUUAGUGGGAUGAAGAAUGUGCCUAGGUGAAUCGAAAGAACAAGUUAACAUGAUAAUAGGAAGAAACAAAAAUUUACUUAA